UACGUGUAGGUUACGAUAUUCAAUUAGGACGUACGCUACAUCUGUUGCCACUGGUGUCCGGAGUAAUCGGAGCGACCACAAGCUUUGUUUUGUCUACCCUGGCGUGCAGUCGGCCAAAUAGAGAAACUGCAGGAAUCCGCCCGCGAUUGUCAUCUAUCUUUGUGGUGGGUGGUGACAACUUGCCAAUAGGCGGAAGACCGAUAACGGCUUGGGAAUUCCCACCUCCAACAAAAGACACUGAGGAUUGAAGAACAAUAUCCAGACGAACCACCACCACCGUAUCCGU